UGUUAAAAAUUUCACCUAUUUUUACUGUUAAAAACAGAUGCAAUUGACAUGAUAAACAAAAAGUUACACGUGGCAUGUUAUGUGUACAUCAUUUUAACGUACAUGGAUCAGUUUUUAAUUAUAGAAAUGAAUAAAAUUUUUAAUA
rfam:Gossypium hirsutum cultivar TM-1 unplaced genomic scaffold scaffold516.1, whole genome shotgun sequence